ACUGUGGCACCAGUUGUGAGGAUAAAGCGUGGCUGAAUUUUUUGGAAGGUCUUUGAGCCAUGAAAGUAUAUGUAAGGUGAUUUUCGCCUUGAGAUAGGUAGGAUAGAGCAUGCCAAAUUGUAUUAGAGAAGCAUCCGAGCGCGGAUGGUUCUAGGUCCAUCCGGGUACAUCCGGCGUUUCUUUUCUGACUUGGAAACAAUUUCAUUACAAUAUCUUCGUAACCAACUGGAGGGACCAGUGAACAUCUGACGCAAGCUUUGGAGUGAAGUUUGGUAUAUCCAGCCUGCCACAAUUCAUUGGAAAGUGAACCGGUGCGCGCAUCGGAAAGGCUUCCGAAUAUGCUACGCACCUGUGGAACGCAUGGGAAGUUGCCCAAAUAGGUGACACCCAAAGUGAUAUUGUCAUAAUAUCAUUCCCAUGAGUCCCUGUGCGCAAUGAGAUAAUUGUUGACAAAUUGCUUUGAGGGCUGUCCAGGGUGAAUGUUAAUGGACUGUUGUUGUUCUACACCAAUGUUUCGUGGCAGAUGCAGAGCGAAUCGGUUAGCUAUGAUCCCCUUAUGUUCACUGAGGGGGUGGGAUUGUCAGGGGCGCGGGCGCUGACAGAAAUUUUUCG
rnacentral:sRNA from 1 species